rnacentral:rRNA from 1 species
UACCAGCACCCCGAGUGGUCGGGACGAUUAUUGGGGCUAAAGCAUCCGUAGCCGGUCCUGCAAGUCUUCCGUUAAAUCCAGCUGCUCAACAGAUGGGCUGCGGAGGAUACUACAGGGCUAGGAGGCGGGAGAGGCAAGCGGUACUUUAUGGGUAGGGGUAAAAUCCGUUGAUCCAUAGAAGACCACCAGUGGCGAAGGCGGCUUGCCAGAACGCGCUCGACGGUGAGGGAUGAAAGCUGGGGGAGCAAACCGG